GACGAACGCUGGCGGCGCGCCUAACACAUGCAAGUCGAACGAGAGAGAGGGAGCUUGCUUCCUUGAUCGAGUGGCGAACGGGUGAGUAACGCGUGAGGAACCUGCCUCAAAGAGGGGGACAACAGUUGGAAACGACUGCUAAUACCGCAUAAGCCCACGGUGCCGCAUGGCACAGAGGGAAAAGGAGCAAUCCGCUUUGAGAUGGCCUCGCGUCCGAUUAGCUAGUUGGUGAGGUAACGGCCCACCAAGGCGACGAUCGGUAGCCGGACUGAGAGGUUGAACGGCCACAUUGGGACUGAGACACGGCCCAGACUCCUACGGGAGGCAGCAGUGGGGAAUAUUGCACAAUGGGGGAAACCCUGAUGCAGCGACGCCGCGUGGAGGAAGAAGGUCUUCGGAUUGUAAACUCC
rnacentral:rRNA from 1 species